rnacentral:rRNA from 1 species
UACGUAGGGUGCAAGCGUUGUCCGGAAUUAUUGGGCGUAAAGAGCUCGUAGGCGGUCUGUCACGUCGGCUGUGAAAUCCCGAGGCUCAACCUCGGGUCUGCAGUCGAUACGGGCAAACUAGAGUAUUGCAGGGGAGACUGGAAUUCCUGGUGUAGCGGUGAAAUGCGCAGAUAUCAGGAGGAACACCGGUGGCGAAGGCGGGUCUCUGGGCCGAAACUGACGCUGAGGAGCGAAAGCGUGGGGAGCGAACAGG